GGGGUUGUAGCUUAGCGGUAUAGCGCUUGCCUUGCAAGCAUGAAGUACUAGGUUCAAUCCUUAGCACCA
rnacentral:tRNA from 1 species